rnacentral:tRNA from 1 species
CAGUAAAUAAUUUAUUUAAAAUAUUAAUUUUGGAGAUUGAUUAUGAGGUUAUUCUUUUUACUGA